AAUGAUUCUAAAAUCUGGGGAUAAGAUUACCAAGCCAUCGCUACCUAAAGAAGAAGAAUUGUCAGAAGAAGAAUCUGAUUUUGAAAUUGACUACGAAAUACUAUCUGGGGGUUCAGCUGAGCCGUGGGAUGAUUACCAGGGUUGCCCGUCGAAUGGAGAAGGUUCGUCCAUAGAUGCUGGAGCUCAUGGAAAGGAUGAUGACAUUGCCGAGCAAGAUCGAG
rnacentral:misc_RNA from 1 species